rnacentral:tRNA from 1 species
AUAGAUUAAGUACUAAUGUAUUUUUCAUUUACAAUGAAAAGGUCUACGUAAAAUAGAAUCUGUA